AUAUCAAUAUGGGGCCUUUGGUUUCAUAAUUGGAAUGGGUGCAAAUUAAAACUCUGCACGAGGAUCAAUUGGAGGGCAAGUCUGGUGCCAGCAGCCGCGGUAAUUCCAGCUCCAAUAGCGUAUAUUAAAGUUGUUGCAGUUAAAAAGUUCGUAGUUGAAUUUCUGGACGCGACGGCGGUCCGCCUUCGGGUGUGUACUUGCUGUUCGCGUCCAAACCUUGCGGAGAAGGCGUGUGGCCUUAACUGGUUGUGCGUUCGGAUCCGCAUCAAUUACUGUGAGCAAAUUAGAGUGUUUAAAGCGGGCAUUUCGCUUGAAUACAUUAGCAUGGAAUAAUGAGAUAGGACUUUGGUGCUAUUUCGUUGGUCGCGUGCCAAAGUAAUGAUUAAUAGGGACAGUUGGGGGUAUUCAUAUUUGAUUGUCAGAGGUGAAAUUCUUGGAUUUAUCAAAGAUGAACAACUGCGAAAGCGUUUACCAAGGAUGUUUUCAUUAAUCAAGAUCGAAAGUCAGGGGAUCGAAGAGGUUUAGAUACCCUCGUAGUCUUGACCAUAAACUAUGCCGACUCAGGAUUGGCGGUGUUCUUCAAUGUCGCCGCCAGCACUGUAUGAUAAAUCAAAGUCUUUGGGUUCCGGGGGGAGUAUGGUCGCAAGGCUGAAACUUAAAGGAAUUGACGGAAGGGCACACCAGGAGUGGAGCCUGCGGCUUAAUUUGACCCAACACGGGGAAACUUACCAGGUCCAGACAUAGUAAGGAUUGACAGAUUGAGAGCUCUUUCUUGAUUCUAUGGGUGGUGGUGCAUGGCCGUUCUUAGUUGGUGGAGUGAUUUGUCAGGUUAAUUCCGGUAACGAACGAGACCUCCGCCUGCUAAAUAGUCACGUGAUGCUUUGCAUCCACGGGCGACUUCUUAGAGGGACUACGGGCGGUGAGCUCGCGGAAGUUGGAGGCAAUAACAGGUCUGUGAUGCCCUUAGAUGUUCUGGGCCGCACGCGCGCUACACUGACUGGUUCAGAAAGCUUUAUCCUUUGCUCCGAAAGGCAUGGGUAAUCUUUAAACGCCAGUCGUGAUGGGGAUAGAUUCCUGUAAUGAUAAUCUUCAACGAGGAAUUCCUAGUAAACGCAACUCAUCAGGUUGCAUUGAUUACGUCCCUGCCCUUUGUACACACCGCCCGUCGCACCUACCGAUUGAAUGGUCCGGUGAAACUCUCGGAUCGUGGUCGUUUGCCUCUUCACGGAGGCGUCGAUCGCG
rnacentral:rRNA from 1 species